UAUCUGGUUGAUUCUGCCAGUAGUCAUAUGCUUGUCUCAAAGAUUAAGCCAUGCAUGUCUAAGUAUAAGCAAUUAUACAGCGAAACUGCGAAUGGCUCAUUAUAUAAGUUAUCGUUUAUUUGAUAGCACCUUACUACUUGGAUAACCGUGGUAAUUCUAGAGCUAAUACAUGCUAAAAAUCCCGACUCACGAAGGGAUGUAUUUAUUAGAUUAAAAACCAAUGCCUUCGGGCUUUCUGGUGAUUCAUGAUAACUUCUCGAAUCGCAUGGCCUUGCGCCGGCGAUGGUUCAUUCAAAUUUCUUCCCUAUCAACUUUCGAUGCGAAGGUCUUGUCUUCGCAUGGUUACAACGGGUAACGGAGGGUUAGGGCUCGACCCCGGAGAGGGAGCCUGAGAAAUGGCUACCACUUUUAAGGAAGGCAGCAGGCGCGCAAAUUACCCAAUCCCGACACGGGGAGGUAGUGACAAUAAAUACUGAUACAGGGCUCUUAUG
rnacentral:ncRNA from 1 species